UGGUAACGAAAUCAAAUAUUUUGUCAUAACGCAGCUGGUCCCAGAUGAGCUAUCAACAACUUCAGAUAUUCCUUUUACUACCACAAGGAUAUCCCUCAGAACAGAGCUAGAACCCAAAUCAUUGACAUUUAGUAUUCAAGAAAAUGGAGAAGGAAAUAAACAACAAGAUUAAUGUUUGCAUUAGGAAGCGACAGUCUCCGAUCCCUGGAAUGGAAGCGAA